UACGGAGGGUGCAAGCGUUGUUCGGAAUUAUUGGGCGUAAAGCGCACGUAGGCGGCUUAGCAAGUCGGAAGUGAAAUCCCUCGGCUCAACCAAGGAAGUGCUUUCGAAACUGCUGAGCUUGAGUACUUAAGAGGAUCGCGGAAUUCCCGGUGUAGAGGUGAAAUUCGUAGAUAUCGGGAGGAACACCAGUGGCGAAGGCGGCGAUCUGGGAAGAUACUGACGCUGAGGUGCGAAAGCGUGGGGAGCAAACAGG
rnacentral:rRNA from 1 species